CGCGGGAUGGAGCAGCGGUAGCUCGUCGGGCUCAUAACCCGAAGGCCGGAGGUUCGAAUCCUUCUCCCGCUACCA
rnacentral:tRNA from 1 species